UUUUCUGGCAACUUCCCUAGUUUUACAAAACUUGUCUGCAUAAGCUUGCUCAAAGCAAGUACCCCUCUUGUGUCCUUUCACCAUCAGAACACUUCUAAUGAAAGGUUCAGAGACUGACAAACGGAACUUUAUCCGGAAAAUUCAGGAGCUAGCGAGUAUGUUUAUGCAGGCACCUGGGAGCAUUAUGUGUUCUACAAACACUGUAGAAUUCAACUCGCUGUCCUGGAAGAACUUUACAAGUCACUGAGAUCAAAUUUGGUGAAAAUGAUGGAAACAUUAUUGCUAAUGUUGAUUCGAAGUUACAUGAGUGUGGGAGAAGAACUAAAGACUUUGCUAAAAGUUCCUUAAGUAAGUGCUCAAACGCAUUGUAUGUGGACAACGUUUCAAGCAGGUGAGCCACACGUGGGUAAAGUUUUUAA
rnacentral:lncRNA from 1 species